rnacentral:rRNA from 1 species
UCAGACAUGCAAGUCGAACGAGAACCUCCCUUCGGGGAGGGGACAGUGGCGCACGGGUGAGUAACACGUGGGUAAUUUACCUUUGGGUGGGGAACAACAGCCGGAAACGGCUGCUAAUACCGCAUAAUGCAGCGGCUCGACAUCGAGACAGUUGUUAAAGCGGGGGAUCGCAAGACCUCGCGCCUAAAGAGAAGCCCGCGGCAGAUUAGCUAGUUGGUAGGGUAAUGGCCUACCAAGGCAACGAUCUGUAACCGGCCUGAGAGGGCGGUCGGUCACACUGACACUGACAUACGGGUCAGACUCCUACGGGAGGCAGCAGUCGGGAAUUUUGGGCAAUGGGCGAAAGCCUGACCCAGCAACGCCGCGUGAAGGAUGAAGCUUUUCGGAGUGUAAACUUCACAAGAAUGGGAAGAAUAAGCGUAGGAUAAUACCCUUCGCGAUGACGGUACCAUUUGUAAGCUCCGGCUAACUCCGUGCCAGCAGCCGCGGUAAUACGGGGGGAGCAAGCGUUGUUCGGAUUUACUGGGCGUAAAGGGCGCGUAGGCGGCGCGACAAGUCACUUGUGAAAUCUCUGGGCUCAACCCAGAACGGUCAAGUGAUACUGUCGUGCUAGAGUGCGGAAGGGGCAACUGGAAUUCUUGGUGUAGCGGUGAAAUGCGUAGAUAUCAAGAGGAACACCUGCGGCGAAGGCGGGUUGCUGGGCCGACACUGACGCUGAGGCGCGAAAGCUAGGGGAGCGAACGGGAUUAGAUACCCCGGUAGUCCUAGCCUUAAACGAUGAAUGCUUGGUGUCCGGAGUUAGAUAGUCUCCGGGUGCCGUCGCUAACGCUUUAAGCAUUCCGCCUGGGGAGUACGUGCGCAAGCAUGAAACUCAAAGGAAUUGACGGGGACCCGCACAAGCGGUGGAGCAUGUGGUUUAAUUCGACGCAACGCGAA